rnacentral:rRNA from 1 species
GACGUAGGGGACGAGCGUUGUCCGGAAUUAUUGGGCGUAAAGAGCUCGUAGGCGGUUUGUCACGUCGGAUGUGAAAACUCGGGGCUCAACCCCGAGCCUGCAUACGAUACGGGCAGACUUGAGUUCGGCAGGGGAGACUGGAAUUCCUGGUGUAGCGGUGAAAUGCGCAGAUAUCAGGAGGAACACCGGUGGCGAAGGCGGGUCUCUGGGCCGAUACUGACGCUGAGGUACGAAAGCGUGGGUAGCAAACAGG